rnacentral:rRNA from 1 species
CGUGCGAAGGUAGCAUAAUCACUUGUUCUUUAAAUGGGGACUAGUAUGAAUGGCACCACGAGGGCUUUACUGUCUCCUCUCUUCAAUCAGUGAAACUGACCUCCCUGUGAAGAGGCAGGGAUACUACUAUAAGACGAGAAGACCCCAUGGAGCUUUAAACCCAACAACAGCCCAAACACCCACCCCCUCAAAGUUUUAAAGUUUUGUUAGUUGGUUUUAGGUUGGGGUGACCGCGGAGUAUAAACUACCCUCCACGACGAAUGGGCCUACCCCCUUACCCAAGAACUACACCUCUAAGGAUUAACACAUUAACGUAAAAUGAUCCAAAUAAUUGAUCAACGAACCAAGUUACCCUGGGGAUAACAGCGCAAUCCAUUUUUAGAGCCCCUAUCGACAAAUGGGUUUACGACCUCGAUGUUGGAUCAG